rnacentral:rRNA from 1 species
AGCGAACGCUGGCGGCAGGCCUAACACAUGCAAGUCGAACGAAGUCUUCGGACUUAGUGGCGGACGGGUGAGUAACACGUGGGAACGUGCCUUUAGGUUCGGAAUAACUCAGGGAAACUUGUGCUAAUACCGAAUGUGCCCUUCGGGGGAAAGAUUUAUCGCCUUUAGAGCGGCCCGCGUCUGAUUAGCUAGUUGGUGAGGUAAGGGCUCACCAAGGCGACGAUCAGUAGCUGGUCUGAGAGGAUGAUCAGCCACAUUGGGACUGAGACACGGCCCAAACUCCUACGGGAGGCAGCAGUGGGGAAUCUUGCGCAAUGGGCGAAAGCCUGACGCAGCCAUGCCGCGUGAAUGAUGAAGGUCUUAGGAUUGUAAAAUUCUUUCACCGGGGACGAUAAUGACGGUACCCGGAGAAGAAGCCCCGGCUAACUUCGUGCCAGCAGCCGCGGUAACAC